rnacentral:rRNA from 1 species
UGGGUAACCUGCCUCAAAGAGGGGAAUAGCCUCCCCGAAAAGGGGAGAUUAAUACCGCAUAAUAUGUUUUAGUCGCAUGACUUAAACAUCAAAGGAUUUUCUUUUAAGAAAUUCCACUUUGAGAUGGACCCGCGGCGCAUUAGCUAGUUGGUGAGGUAACGGCUCACCAAGGCAACGAUGCGUAACCGACCUGAGAGGGUGAUCCGGCCACAUUGGAACUGAGACACGGUCCAGACCUCCGUACGGGAGCA